AGAGUUUGAUUCUGGCUCAGAUUGAACGCUGGCGGCGUGCUUAACACAUGCAAGUCGAACGUGAAAGUCCUUCGGGGCGAGUAAAGUGGCGCACGGGUGAGUAACGCGUGGAUAAUCUACCCUUAAGAUGGGGAUAACGGCUGGAAACGGUCGCUAAUACCGAAUACGCUCCCGAUUUUAUCGUUGGGGGGAAAGAUGGCCUCUGCUUGCAAGCUAUCGCUUAAGGAUGAGUCCGCGUCCCAUUAGCUAGUUGGCGGGGUAACGGCCCACCAAGGCAACGAUGGGUAGCCGGUCUGAGAGGAUGACCGGCCACACUGGAACUGGAACACGGUCCAGACUCCUACGGGAGGCAGCAGUGGGGAAUAUUGCGCAAUGGGCGAAAGCCUGACGCAGCGACGCCGCGUGAGGGAUGAAGGUUCUCGGAUCGUAAACCUCUGUCAGGGGGGAAGAAACCCCCUCGUGUGAAUAAUGCGAGGGCUUGACGGUACCCCCAAAGGAAGCACCGGCUAACUCCGUGCCAGCAGCCGCGGUAAUACGGAGGGUGCAAGCGUUAAUCGGAAUCACUGGGCGUAAAGCGCACGUAGGCGGCUUGGUAAGUCAGGGGUGAAAUCCCACAGCCCAACUGUGGAACUGCCUUUGAUACUGCCAGGCUUGAGUACCGGAGAGGGUGGCGGAAUUCCAGGUGUAGGAGUGAAAUCCGUAGAUAUCUGGAGGAACACCGGUGGCGAAGGCGGCCACCUGGACGGUAACUGACGCUGAGGUGCGAAAGCGUGGGUAGCAAACAGGAUUAGAUACCCUGGUAGUCCACGCUGUAAACGAUGGGUGCUGGGUCU
rnacentral:rRNA from 1 species